AUUGAACGCUGGCGGCAUGCCUUACACAUGCAAGUCGAACGGUAACAGGUCUUCGGAUGCUGACGAGUGGCGAACGGGUGAGUAAUACAUCGGAACGUGCCCGAUCGUGGGGGAUAACGAAGCGAAAGCUUUGCUAAUACCGCAUAAGAUCUAAGGAUGAAAGCAGGGGACCGCAAGGCCUUGCGCGAACGGAGCGGCCGAUGGCAGAUUAGGUAGUUGGUGGGAUAAAAGCUUACCAAGCCGACGAUCUGUAGCUGGUCUGAGAGGACGACCAGCCACACUGGGACUGAGACACGGCCCAGACUCCUACGGGAGGCAGCAGUGGGGAAUUUUGGACAAUGGGCGAAAGCCUGAUCCAGCCAUGCCGCGUGCAGGAUGAAGGCCU
rnacentral:rRNA from 1 species